AGUGAACGCUGGCGGUAGGCCUAACACAUGCAAGUCGAACGGCAGCACAGGAGAGCUUGCUCUCUGGGUGGCGAGUGGCGGACGGGUGAGGAAUACAUCGGAAUCUACUCUGUCGUGGGGGAUAACGUAGGGAAACUUACGCUAAUACCGCAUACGACCUACGGGUGAAAGCAGGGGACCUUCGGGCCUUGCGCGAUUGAAUGAGCCGAUGUCGGAUUAGCUAGUUGGCGGGGUAAAGGCCACCAAGGCGACGAUCCGUAGCUGGUCUCGGAGGAUGAUCAGCCACACGGGAACUGAGACACGGUCCAGACUCCUACGGGAGGCAGCAGUGGGGAAUAUUGGACAAUGGGCGCAAGCCUGAUCCAGCCAUACCGCGUGGGUGAAGAAGGCCUUCGGGUUGUAAAGCCCUUUUGUUGGGAAAGAAAUCCAGCUGGCUAAUACCCGGUUGGGAUGACGGUACCCAAAGAAUAAGCACCGGCUAACUUCGUGCCAGCAGCCGCAGUAA
rnacentral:rRNA from 1 species